rnacentral:rRNA from 1 species
UGACUNGAGUGCAGAAGGGGAGAGUGGAAUUCCAUGUGUAGCGGUGAAAUGCGUAGAUAUAUGGAGGANCACCAGUGGCGAAAGCGGCUCUCUGGUCUGUCACUGACGCUGAGGCUCGAAAGCGUGGGUAGCGAACAGGAUUAGAUACCCUGGUAGUCCACGCCGUAAACGAUGAGUGCUAGGUGUUAGGCCCUUUCCGGGGCUUAGUGCCGGAGCUAACGCAAUAAGCACUCCGCCUGGGGAGUACGACCGCAAGGUUGAAACUCAAAGGAAUUGACGGGGGCCCGCACAAGCGGUGGAGCAUGUGGUUUAAUUCGAAGCAACGCGAAGAACCUUACCAGGUCUUGACAUCCCGAUGCUAUUCUUAGAGAUAGGAAGUUACUUCGGUACAUCGGAGACAGGUGGUGCAUGGUUGUCGUCAGCUCGUGUCGUGAGAUGUUGGGUUANNNNNNNNNNNNAGCGCAACCCUUAUUGUUAGUUGCCAUCAUUAAGUUGGGCACUCUAGCGAGACUGCCGGUAAUAAACCGGAGGAAGGUGGGGAUGACGUCAAAUCAUCAUGCCCCUUAUGACCUGGGCUACACACGUGCUACAAUGGUCGGUACAACGAGUUGCGAGCCGGUGACGGCAAGCUAAUCUCUGAAAGCCGAUCUCAGUUCGGAUUGGAGGCUGCAACUCGCCUCCAUGAAGUCGGAAUCGCUAGUAAUCGCGGAUCAGCACGCCGCGGUGAAUACGUUCCCGGGCCUU